UACGGAGGGGGCUAGCGUUGUUCGGAAUUACUGGGCGUAAAGCGCGCGUAGGCGGACCUGCAAGUCGGGGGUGAAAGCCCGAGGCUCAACCUCGGAACUGCGUCCGAUACUGGUUGGCUUGAAUCCGGGAGAGGGACGUGGAAUUCCAGGUGUAGCGGUGAAAUGCGUAGAUAUCUGGAGGAACACCGGUGGCGAAGGCGACGUCCUGGACCGGCAUUGACGCUGAGGCGCGAAAGCCAGGGGAGCAAACGGG
rnacentral:rRNA from 1 species